CCUACGGGGGGCAGCAGUGAGGAAUAUUGGUCAAUGGACGAGAGUCUGAACCAGCCAAGUAGCGUGAAGGAUGACUGCCCUAGGGGUGGUAAACUUCUUUUAUAAAGGAAUAAAACGAGGCACGUGUGCCUUUUUGCAUGUACUUUAUGAUUAAGGAUCGGCUAACUCCGUGCCAGCAGCCGCGGUAAUACGGAGGAUCCGAGCGUUAUCCGGAUUUAUUGGGUUGAAAGGGAGCGUAGAUGGGUUGUUAAGUCAGUUGUGAAAGUUUGCGGCCUAACCGUAAAAUUGCACUUGAUACUGGCAGUCUUGAGUACAGUUGAGGUAGGCGGAAUUCGUGGUGUAGCGGUGAAAUGCUUAGAUAUCACGAAGAACCCCGAUUGCGAAGGCAGCUUACUAAACUGUGACUGACAUUGAGGCUCGAAAGUGUGGGUAUCAAACAGGAUUAGAUACCCCAGUAGUC
rnacentral:rRNA from 1 species